GAAAACUAAUUUAUAAAACAGGGCUAUCUAUUCCACUCUUGUUUCUUCCUUAAUCAGUUUCAAUCAACUCCUCUUCCUAUUCCAUUUCACCGCCUCCUUCCUACACUAAUUCCCAAUUUAUCAUCUCGGUUGAGACAAGGAGAAUGGAAGCUUAAAAAAAAAAUCAAUUCAGCAGUGAGGAAUUUAGUCAGAAGAUAACAAGAAGUCAUAGCAAGCAAGUUUAAGGUAAUACAACUCAACUUUUCAUGAUUAUGAAUGUAAGGUUUAAAUAAAGUGAGUGAGUUAGUUUUUAAAUAAAAAAAAAAUAGUUAGUGAUAUGAAUUGGCUAGCUAUAUAUGCUUAAUCGAAGUGUUAGUAAUUGAUUAACAAAGAUGAGAUUGAAAUAUUACAUCUCAUAAUAGAAUCAAAAGAGUUGAGUUUUGAAAAGUGAAUAAACUAAUUAGUUUACUAAAUAGUUGACUAUAUAUGAAUUCGAUUGUGUAGAAGAUUGUUAUUAAACUGGUAUAGUGCAAAGGAGUAUAGGUUGGGUUGUGAGGAGUAAUAAGGUGGGAAAAUGAGUAGAACAGAAAUCAAACAUCAAGAAAUCUGCGUUUUGAGGAAACGCACACCAAGUGCUUGAUAAAAGUCUUCUGUGGACUGUUUUGGUUAAAAACGAAGAAUUAAGUAAAGCCGAGUCCAAGGUUACAUAUAUAUACACUAUAUGUAGAUAAUUAAAGGAUUUGAGCAAAUCAAAUUAGAACGAAAAGCAAUUGUAAGCCAAAACGAAAAAUCGAAAUAUAGUGUGUCGGGCCACUUAUGGACUAACAUUGGACUGUUUUGGAACUUUUGUGGUUUUGAUUCAUGUCUGAAAUUUAAGUUUUGUAGUAGUAUGUUAUACUCCUAUGAGUUAUGAAAAUAACCCAAUUGGAACGAAGUAAAAAUGAGCUCAAACGAAUUUAUAGUGAAUGUUUUGGUAAAACAUGUUAAAAACUAAGAAAAACAAGUGAACUGCUGCCCCUAAAAUAAAAAUUCGGGGUUAGGUAGGAUGUUCAGAAAAUUCUGGACUUUUGGUAUGUUAUAGUACACUGAAUAAGCUUUCCAUAAACUCUGGAACGGACUAAUUCCGACUUCGGAGCAAAGAGUUAUGACCGUUCAAAGUAGUCGCGUCGAAACUGUCUAACCAACUCGGGGUAGUCACCUUGAACGAAUUUUCUGGAAUUCUGUGUUUAGAAUUUGGAAAAGAUCAAAGAAUAAAAGUUGUAGUCCCGGAAGUUAGCUUCGCCUAGGCUCAAGAAUUGCCUAAAAAUGUUUUAAAACGAAAAAGUUAUGACUGUUUUAGUGAGAGAGGGUACAGCUGGGAAGAAAUUGAAACUGUUAUGAACGUCUACUUUUGACGCAUUAUUUGGGCUGCCUAAUGAACCCGAAUUUGGUGACUCGUACAUUUAAAAAAAUAGUCUCAUAUACUAUAUAUUACAUAUUUAAAAUUCGUUGUAAUCCACUAUACGAGCUAGAAGUAAUGAGGUCGCAAAAUGGGCAUGUUGGAAACAGAGCUGCUGCCCACGGCAGCAGCAGUGGUGAUGUUUGGCAAUGGCUGCGGGCUUUCCUUGGGCUCUCAGCCAACAAAUUUAAAUUGCUUAAAAUGUACGGCUAAUGUUUUACUAUAAUAGCUGAGUAUAUCACCUACAUAAUAUCAAAAUUCCAUAUGAAUAGAUCAAAGUCGUGAGGAGCGAAAAGCUAGCAAAACAAGAGAAAAGAAGAAGGGGUUGUUGCCCAUUAGGCAGCAGUGAACAACAGUAGACAGCAGCAAGAAGCUGCUACAGCAGCGUUGAAGAGCCAUCUUGGCUUCGAAAAUUAGUUCAAUAGUUUACCCAAAAAGUUGAGUUUGUCAUCUCUAGGACACCCCCAAAUCUAGGUACUUCGUUCCCAUAAGACUUGGUGUUCACUUUCCAUUCAUUCAUACUAUCUACCCAAAUAUAAUAAAAUUAAAUCAUAAAACAUCCCUUUAAAAUAGGGUUACAUCAUUAAAUAAACAUCUUCCCAAGUUGUCUAACCUUAAUCAUCAUAUAAGUGCGAAAAUAAAAUUAUUAAAUCACAUCAUUAAUUAAAAGUCUAUCAUCAUAACAAUAAAUGAAAAUUAUAAGUCUACAUCACUUGUACAUUUCCAUUGCUAGUUGAAGGCUCAUCUACCUUCUCAACUUUAGCUGCAACAAUUAUAUUUAACAAGAGUGAGCAAAACAAAUGCUCACUAGGUAUAGCAACGAAUCAACAAGAUAAUAAUAACUACCAAUGAAUAGGCUCAUCAAAACUGAAUAGUACUCUAUCAAUGAUAAUCAAAGACUGAAAUCAAAAUAUGGAAUAUAUGUAUCUGAGGGUCAUAAGACCACGAACUAUGUCUACAGUUGUAAGUAAUCUUUCAACUACAACUUUAACAGUCAUAAGACUAUAAGGACUCCUCGUACUUAGGGGGAUCAACCCUUUAUACAAUGUAUUGUGCACAAUCAUUUCAACGCUAAGCGUAAAUUAUCCCCUAAUAAUAGGGUUGUUCAUCUCAGUAUUUAGAGUACAAGUCCGCACCAAAGUAAGUUUGGUUUGGAUACAUUUCAAGGUUAAUUUAGAAUUCAACGGUCAUCAACUAAGGAUUAGUUGAAUACGAUAUUGAUAACGUCAUGUUAUGGAAUAAUCAUAACUGAAUCGACAUUGUAAAUUAAGAUCAUGCUUUAGGAAUAAACUAAUAGCAUAAACAUCGAAUAAUCAUAACGUACCUUACUUGAACAAUAUUAAGCCAAGGUUAUUUAGAAUUGAGUACUAAGCAUGCAUAACCAAUAGUAAUUUAAACGAUAAAACUUGUUCAACAUGAGUAUAUCAGAAUAUGUAAACUUGCAUGCUAGAUAACAAGUUAAAGACAAGAAUAACUUGUUCAAUAUCAGAAUAAGAUUUAGAAAUCAUAAACAAACUAAAUACAAGAACUUGCUCAAUCGUAAGAAUAAACUUGCACAAUGUAAUAAAUAAACUAGCUCAACGAAAGUGUAGAGUUAGAAAACUUGCUCAAUUGUAAAAGUAGAAUUAAAGAGCUUGCUCAAUGUAAAAAAGAUAAGUUUAGAAACUUGCCUCGAGAAUAAGCUAUAAUAUUAAACUCACGUUCACCUACACAUAGGUUUAGAACCACAAUAUCUCUUAGACAUACUAAAAUACCAUAACAUAUGCAUUUCUAGUUAGACUUGUUAUUUCCGUAUAAGUCUUAUACUACCAUAUACAUUUCAGAAUUUCCAAGUGUUAACAUCACAACACUUAUCUAACAUUCAUUGUAUAAACUAAGUUAUAACAUAACACGUUCAUAACUUAUAAUCAUUUAAAACUUUGAACUACUAACCACCUAACACGAUUCUGUUUUAACCAUGUUAUUACAUGUUUGACACCUUAACACAACCUUAGACCAAGCUAUAGGGGUGUUUCAAGGUCUGCAGUAGUAGCAGAACAAACUGUCUCAGGACAGGGUAUGGCGCAACUGCGCCACACACAGGCCUGGGACCGGUGCAACUACACCGGCACAGCUGCGCAGUUUUUAGCCUUGGCACCAGCGCAGCUGCGUUGGUGCACAGACAGAGGCAGAGACAGCUUUGAACAGUAGCCGACUUUAGCCCCAAAAACACAAAUUUCACCCACCAAACAGUAAUAUGUACACAAAUAAUUGAUAUAAAACUAUCAUAAACAUGUUUGCUAACAUAUUCCUCAACAUAGAACAAUUUACAUCAACUAAAACUAGUUUAAUUUCUCAAAUUUUGCGUUUUCAUAUAAAAACUCAAUUUUUGAUAACCUUCACGAAAAUCAACACUAUAAACACAAUUCAUGUCCAAAUUGCUUCGUUCAAAUUACGUUAUGUUCGUUUCUUAAUGAACUAGCAUAAUCAAGCCUCAAUUACAGUUUAGUAUACGAAUUGACCAUAAAAAUUAGUAUUUACAUAAGCCAUAUGAGAAAAUAUUCAUAACAACAUACACUGUAAUUAUCUUUCCUACUUUUAACUUUAAUUAAAAUACAAAUUCCUUGUUUAAACAUAAACUCUAAUCAUCAUUAACACAGAUAAUCACCAUAAUUAGUUGUAUAGUAACAUUUGAAAGAAAUAGAAUUCACAGAACUUGAGAUUUUAUGUCGUAAAUUCACACACACACACACACACAUAUAUAUGUAUGUAUGUAUGUAUGUAUGUAUGUAUGUAUGUAUAAUAUUGAGAUUAUGAAAAAUUACCUUCAAUUAGCUUGCACAACCUUGCUAAACACAGAAUUUGUUGUGAAAAUUCUUAAGACUCCUCUCCAAUUCAUCUGAAAACUCUCUUCUCUUCUCUCUUCUCAGUAGACUAAACUCUUAGUUAAGUGUAAACAAAUAAACUGAUAGGUUAGCCAUAAUACGUAUACUUAUUAUAAUAUCAGUUACAAAUAAAAUAUAACGUAUCUGUUAUAAAUUUAUUUUAUUUUAUUAUUUUUUAUAAUAAAAUCCAAAAUUUAAAAAUCCAAAAGUCAUAAGGCUUUGUUUGGCAACACCUCUUUAAAAUUUAAAGACUUAAUAUAUUUAAGCUUUGUUUGGCAAAACUAAAUUACACUCCUUUAAUUUAUUUUAAUAAACAAUUUAGUUUAUCAUUCAUAAUCACAUAUUAAUUAUUUGGAUUUCCAUAUCCACAUUAAUCAAAUAAAUUAGUUACACACUAUAUUUUAAUUUAAUAUACCAUUUAAACAAAUAACACAAAAUUAUAAUUUCAUUAUAAUUUUAUCUAAUAAUUUAACAUAUCAUUUUAAAUUAUUAAAUCAACACAACAAUAUAACAUCUCAUGUUAUAUUACAACUCUCUCCAUUAUAAAUCACAUAAAUUUAGAAUUUUAUUAAUUCACAAAUAUUUAGUAACAACAAUCACAUCAAAUAAAAUAUUUAUUCAACAAUUUUUACAAUAAACACAUCAAAUAAAUAUUUACAUAAUUCAAUAAAUAUUUAAAAUUAUAAUUUGAAAUUCCGAAUUGUUACAUCAUUCCCUCCUUAUAAUGAUUCUGUCCCCAGAAUCAAAACUCAAAUAAUCAAAAACACAUCAAAUAAAUAUUUACAUAAUCCAAUAAAUAUUUAAAAUUACAAUUUGAAAUUUUAGAUUGUUACAUCCUUCCCUCCUUACAAGGAUUCUGUCCCCAGAAUCACAACUCAAACAAUCAAAUCGUCACAUUCUUCCCUAAUUACAAAGAUUCUGUCCCUAGAAUCGAAGAUACAGAUUAAACAAAUAACUCAGGGUAAUUCUUUAUCAUUUCCGCUACGAGUUCCCACGUAGCCUCUUCGAUAUUGUGGUUCCUCUAUAUCACCUUCACAGAAGGUAUCACUUUAUUCCAGAGCACUUGUUCUUUCCUGUCGACUAUCUGGAUAGGAAUCUCUUCAUAUGACAAAUCUUUACUGAACUGCAACGGUUCAUACUCGAUCACAUGUUUGUAAUCGGGUUUAUACGGUCGCAACACCGAUACAUGAAAAACGUUGUGAACGUGUUCUAAUUCUGGAGGUAAAGCUACCUCAUAAGAUACUUCUCCCACUCUGCGUAGAAUCUCGAAAGGUCCAAUAAACCCUGUGCUUAGCUUUCCCUUCUUGCCAAAACGAAUUUUUCCCUUCCAAGGAGAAACUUUCAGGAACACGAAAUUUCCCGCUUUAAAUUCACGAUUCUGCCUGUGUUGAUCAACAUACUUCUUCUGUCGAUCUUGAGCAGCUACUAGUGUUGCUCUGAUGAGUUUGAUAAUUUCAGUGGUCUGCUGCACCAGUUCUGGUCCUAGCAGUUGACGUUCACCAACUUCAUCCCAGCAUAGUGGAGUUCUACAUUUUCUGCCGUAUAAUGCCUCGUAUGGCGGCAUGCCAAUGCUUUCAUGGUAACUGUUGUUGUAUGCAAAUUCCACCAAUGGUAGAUGAUCAUCUUAGUUUCCUUUGAAAUUCAUGAUGCACGCUCUAAGCAUAUCUUCUAGCGUCUGGAUUGUUCGUUCGCUUUGUCCAUCAGUUUGCAGAUGAUAUACUGUACUUAUCUUUAGUUGCGUUCCCAUGCAUUCUUGUAGUCUCAUCCAGAAAUUUGAUGUGAACCUUGGAUCUCUAUCUAAUACAAUUGACACUGGAACUCCAUGUCUUGAGACGAUCUCUUUAACGUAUAGCUUCGCCAGCUGAUCAAGAUUAAAUCUAAUCUUUAAUGACAAAAAGUGUGCAGAGUUUGUCAGUCUGUCCACUAUCACCCAUAUCGCAUCGUAUCCUUUCUGAGUCGUUGGAAGACUUACCACAAAAUUUAUUGUGAUAUGUUCCCACUUCCAUUCCGGUAUCUCCAACGGUUGAAGUAGUCCGCUUGGUCGUUGAUGCUCUUCCUUCACUCUCUGACAUGUUAAGCACUUUGCAACGUAUUUCGCGGCGUCUCUUUUCAUAUUUGGCCACCAAAAGCGUCGCCGCAAAUCUUGAUACAUCUUCGUACUUCCCGGAUGAAGUGAAUAUCUUGAGCUAUGAGCCUCUGUCAAGAUUUUUUCUUUAACAUCUUGUACUGCUGGAACCCAAAUUCGUCCCUCAAAUCUUAGUAUUCCUUUAGUAUCAACCUUUUAUUUCACUUCUUUACCCUCGAUCACACCUUCCUUUAUUUUUCUACAUUCCUCAUCCUGUAGUUGAGCGGUCUUCACUUUGUCCACCAAAGUUGGACUAGCUUCCAUCUGGUACAAUCUUUUGUCAGAUUCUUUUGGAAAUUUAAUUUCCAACUCUAGCCUUGCCAUUUGCUGAAAUGAGCUCCUCCUUAUCGGUUAACAACAUCAAUUUUUCUCGGUCAUUCCUACUCAAGGCAUCUGCAACCACAUUAGCUUUACCCGGAUGAUAAAAGAUCUUGCAAUCAUAAUCCUUUAUCAAUUCCAUCCAUCUCCUUUGACGCAUGUUCAGGUCCUUCUGUGUGAAAAUAUACUUCAGACUCUUAUGGUCUGUGUAGAUCUCACACUUCUCUCCAUAGAGAUAGUGUCUCCAUAUCUUCAGAGCAAACACUACCGCAUCCAACUCUAAGUUAUGAGUCGGAUACCCUUUUUUGUAGUCUUUCAAUUGCCUUGAUGCAUAUGCAAUGACUUUGUCGUUCUGCAUAAGGACACAUCCUAACCCUUGUGUGAAGCAUCACUAUACACCAUAAAAUUUCUUGUAUUAUCUGGUAAUAACAACACAGGUGCCACACUUAACUUCUUUUUAAAUUCAUGAAAACUUUCUUCAUACUUCUCCGUCCAAACAAAUUUUAUAGAUUUUCUAGUAAAAUUUGUUAACGGAGUGGCAAUCUUGAAAAAAUCUUGGAUAAACUGUCUAUAAUAGUCUGUCAAUCCCAAGAAACUUCUUACUUUUGAUGGAGUUCUUGGUGGUUCCCAAUUUAUCACAGCUUCGACUUUUGAUGGAUCUACAGAAAUCCCAUCCUUAUCAAUUACAUGCCCAAGAAAUUGUACACGUUCUAACCAAAAUUCACAUUUAGAGAAUUUCGUGUACAACUUUUCUUUUCUUAACGUCUCCAGCGUCAGACGCAAGUGUUCCACGUGUUCUUCUUGAGAUUUAGAGUACACCAGAAUAUCAUCGAUAAAUACCACCACAAACUUAUCUAAAAAUAGUUUAAACACCCUGUUCAUCAAAUCCAUGAACGCUGCAGGGGCGUUUGUCAAACCAAAAUACAUCGCCAAAAAUUCAUAAUGUCCAUAGCGAGUUCGGAAUGCCGUCUUCGGUACAUCCUCCUUUCUCACUUUUAGUUGGUGAUACCCACUUCUCAAAUCUAUUUUCGAGAAAUAUUUAGCACCCUUCAAUUGAUCAAACAAAUCAUCUAUUCUUGGCAAUGGAUAUUUAUUUUUAAUAGUGACCUUGUUUAAUUAUCUAUAAUCAAUGCAAAGACGCAUUGACCCAUCCUUCUUCUUCACGAACAACACCGGCGCUCCCCACGGUGAUACACUUGGCUGAAUGUACUUCUUUUCUAAUAGUUCUUGCAGUUGUACCUCAGUUCCUUCAUUUUGACCCGAGCCAUUCUGUACAGGGUCUUCGAUAUUGGAGCGGUUCCUGGCGCUAAGUCGACCACAAAUUCGAUCUCUCGGUCAGGCGGAUGUCCUGACAAAUCUUCCGGAAACACAUCCACGAAUUCCCUAACCACUGGUAUUUCCUCAAAUUUUACACUCUUCAUCUUUUGAGUAUCGACUAUGUAAGCUAAAUACCCUACACAGCCCUGACUCAACAACUUCGUGGCCUGCAUAAUCGUCAGACAUCUCAUUUGUCUAGGCGAUUUGCUACCAUGAAAAACUACCUUUGAUGGAGUCAUAAGGUUUACACACUUCUUUUGGCAAUCAAUUAUCUCUCCAUAAUUGAAUAACCAAUUCAUUCCCAAUAUCACGUCAAAUUCUCCAAGUUUUAUCGGGAUUAAAUCUACUGUCAUAACAUUCCCCUUAAUAUUCACCCUACAGUUCUUGUAUACGAACCUAACAUGAAUCACUUUCUUAUUCACAAUUUCUAUGUUUAAAGGGAAAUUCAACUCUUCACUAGGUAUUUCUAACCUCUUAGCAAAUUCAUCAGAUAUAAAUGAGCAAGUAGCACCCGAAUCAAAUAAUACAUAUACAUUUAUAUCAUUGAUUGGGAUAAUACCUGGCACGACAUCUUUUGAUUGCACCGCGUCCUGCAUAGUCACGUUGAAGGUUCUUGUUGUGGGCUUAUUUGUUGACGUUGGUCCAACAAUAGCCAGUGUACCUCUACUUGCAUUUCCCUUGCUUCCAUUCACCUCACCAGUUUUCUUCUUUGGACACUCGCGAGCAAAAUGAUACUUCGACCCGCAGGUGUAGCAAGCAUUCUUAUUGGGUUGAGUGUAAUUUGGGGCAAUGUGACCCUCCUGGCAACAAUUAAAGCAUGCCCACUUCCCUCUUAAGCACAUACCCAAGUGAAACUUUCCGCAAGUAGCACAUGCGUCAAUCUUCUUCUUUUGCUGGUUACCUUGCUGAUUUCCAGCUCCCACAUUUGCAUUCCACUUUAUCUUCAAAUUGUUGUUGCCAUUUCCACCAUUACCACCAGCACCAUUUUUAGUUUCUCCUUCAUUUUUCUUCUUCCUCUGCUCUUGAUUGUGCUUUGUUACAGCCUCGCCUCCACUCUCAGCGAGAAUUGCCUUCUCAAGUACUGCUGCAAAUGUCUUUAACUGGAACAGGGAAACCCUGCUGUACAACCAAGGCUUCAGUCCCUGCUCGAACCUUCUUGCUUUGCGUUCAUCAGUAUUCACUUGAUAUGGCGCAAACCUCGCUAAUUCGUUGAACCUUGCUGCAUAUUCUGACACUGUCAUUGUGCCCUGCUUUAACUCCAAAAAUUGCACCUCCAUCUGGUUCUUUGAGCUUUCUGGGAAAUAGGUCUCGAAGAAUAUUUUCUUGAACCUUUCCCAAGAUAUUACCCCUUGACCUCCUCAGGUUUUAUUGGCUUGCCACCAAUAACUAGCCUCUACUUUCAACAUGAAUGUUGCAAAAGUAGUCUUCUGAUUCUCCCCUACACUAGCAACAUCGAAAACCUUCUCUAUUUCCAUAAUCCAGGUCUGUGCUUCAACUGGAUUCAUGGACCCAUAGAAUUAUGGUGGCCCAACCGCCUUGAAAUUCUUAAAUGUCGCAGCUUGAUUCUGUGGCUGAUUCUGUAAUGCUCCUGUCAGUAACGUUACGAAUUGUUGAACUAGAUUAUCCUCAGCAUUGCUGUUAUUCUUAGGGUUCCUUUGUCGUGGUUGGCGUCUUGGAGUCAUUUUCUGUUAAAAUACACCCAUUAGAUUCUAUUCAACCUUUUAAGUAUUAUAUAUUCAACUUGCACAUCGCAAAAAUUAUCACAUAACACAAUAUCUUGAAUAAAUAGUAACUCUUAUUUAUUCAUAAUGUUUUAUAACAUAAUAAUGAUAGCAUUCAUACUAUCUACAUCUUCACUUUCCUGAACUACAAAAGUUGCAGGAUUACUUCAUCAUCAUCACAUCCCAUUGGUUAUAUCAUAUCCGGGAUUUACAUCAUAUUUACUCACUAAUCACAUAAUAAUUACAUUUAUGACGUUUUAUUAAAAUGCUGCAUAGCCUUACGACGCUCCUUUUCCUUAAUUCAGAACAUUGUUCGACGAUCUAAUAUGUAUGAUGGUAGCAUCUCAAACUGAAUAGGAUAACACAUGACUCGAUCUUGAGCUCGAUUGAUCAAGGUGUUGAAUACGUUAUUCAUCUCUUCUAUCUUGAUCCUCUUUACAUGCAUCUCUCUCUCUGCUACCCUGGCUCGUUGAAAAGCUUCCUCGUAUGCGUCUUCGGCUCUUGCCCUCUUCGUAGAUUCUUCUUUCAAUUUGUUCUCCAACUCUGUAAUCCUCUCUGCCAGUUGCUCUUUCUCUUCUUCAGUGUGGACCAGCUUCUCUUCAACAUUAUUCAGACGUUCCUCUUGAUCCUAGAUCUCAUCGUCCUUUUAUGCCAUUGAGGUCUGUUGUUCAGCUACUAUCUCUUGCAACUCCUCGACGGUAUCUUGAAGUUCCACAUUGCAGUCAUAUACUUCGUCUUACAUACGGGCGGCAAUCGAGUUAAGUGGAAGCUCUUCCUCCUCGUCAUCCUCAUCUCUAUCCGACUGUGGCAGCCCAACGGGGUCCUCCUCGUCCGUCUCUAUCUCAUCAUCCUCAUCAAGCAAUCCUUCCUACUCAACCACUGUGACCAACGAAGUUGUUUCCCGUGGCAGUAGCUGUUCCCAAACCACCUGAAUAUCUCGAGGCUCCUCCUCUCUAGGCAUCUGGAAUCCUUCCUCCCUAGCCUGACUAGAUCCUCCUAUAUUAGUCAUCUUGUCAACCAAAUUUUAAGUUUUAAUUACUAAUCAUUACUACUCGACACUCAUGAGCACAUAAGUUAUAAUCACAUAAGCACAUAAGUAUUUUAUUACUUCUUCCUUAAAACUCGAUAAAAGUUUAUCAUCACUAUCUUUUCAAAGGUUACUUCCUAAGGCUUUUCCCCACCUAAGGUUCAUAACCUAAGGCUUUGAUACCAACUUAUGACAACUCCAAAUCUAGGUACUUUGUUCCCACAAGACUUGAUGUUCACUUUCCAUUCACUCAUACUAUCUACCCAAAUAUAAUAAAAUUAAAUCAUAAAUCCUCGCUUUAAAAUAGGGUUUCAUCAUUAAAUAAACAUCUUCCCAGGUUGUCUAACCUUAAUCAUCAUAUAAGUGUGGAAAUAAAAUUAUUACAUCACAUCAUUAAUUAAAAGUCUAUCAUCAUAACAAUAAAUGAAAAUUACAAGUUUUCAUCACUUGUACAUUUUUCCCUUUCCCUUUCUAGUUGAAGGUUCAUCUACCUUUUCAACUUUAGCUGCAACAAUUAUAUUUAAGCAAGAGUGAGCAAAACAAAUGCUCACUAGAUAUAGCAACGAAUCAACAAGAUAAUAAUAACUGCCAAUGAAUAGGCUCAUCAAAACUGAAUAGUACUCUAUCAAUGAUAACCAAAGACUGGAAUCAAAAUAUGGAAUAUAUGUAUCUGAGGAUAAUAAGACCACGAACUAUGUCCACAGUUGUAAGUAAUCUUUCAACUACAACUUUAACAGUCAUAAGACUAUAAGGACUCCUCGUACAUAGGGGGAUCAGCCCUUCGUACAAUGUAUUGUGCACAGUCAGUUAACCGCUAAGCGUAAAUUAUCCCCUAAUAAUAGGGUUGUUCAUCUCAGUAUUUAGAGUAUAAGUUCGUACCAAUGUAAGUUUGGUUUGGAUACAUUUCAAGGUUAAUUUAGAAUUCAACGGUCAUCAACUAAGGAUUAGUUAAAUACAAUAUUGAUAACGUCAUGUUAUGGAAUAAUCAUAACUGAAUCGACAUUGUAAAUUAAGAUCAUGCUUUAGGAAUAAACUAAUAGCAUAAACAUCGAAUAAUCAUAACGUACCUUGCUUGAACAAUAUUAAGCCAAGGUUAUUUAGAAUUGAGUACUAAGCAUGCAUAACCAAUAAUAAUUUAAACGAUAAAAUUUAUUCAACAUGAGUAUAUCAGAAUAUGUAAACUUGUAUGCUAGAUAACAAGUUAAAAAGAAGAAUAACUUGUUCAAUAUCAGAAUAAGAUUUAGAAAUCAUAAACAAACUAAAUACAAGAACUUACUCAAUCGUAAGAAUAAACUUGCACAAUGUAAUAAAUGAACUAGCUCAACGAAAGUGUAGUUAGAAAACUUGAUCAAUUGUAAAAGUAGAAUUAAAGAGCUUGCUCAAUGUAAAAAGAUAAGUUUAGAAACUUGCUUAAUGUAAAAAGAUAAGGUUUAGAAACUUGCCUCGAGCAUAAGCUAUAAUAUUAAACUCACGUUCACCUACACAUAGGUUUAGAACCACAAUAUCUCUUAGACAUACUAAAAUACCAUAACAUAUGCAUUUCUAGUUAGACUUGUUAUUUUCGUAUAAGUCUUAUAUUACCAAAUACAUUUCAUAUUUUCCAAGUGUUAACAUCACAACACUUAUCUAACAUUCAUUGUAUAAACUAAGUUAUAACAUAACACGUUCAUAACUUAUAAUCAUUUGAAACUUUGAACUACUAACCACCUAACACGAUUCUGUUUUAACCAUGUUAUUACAUGCUUGACACCUUAACACAACCUUAGACCAAGCUAUAGGGGUGUUUCAAGGUCUGCAGUAGCAGCAGAACAAAUUAUCUCAGGACAGGGUAUGACGCAGCUGCGCCAUACACAUGCUUAGGACCGGCGCAGCUGCGCCGGUGCAGCUGCGCCGGUGCAGCUGCGCAGUUUUUAGCCUUGGUACUAGCGCAUCUGCGCUGGUGCACAGACAGAGGCAAAGACAGCUAUAAACACUAGCCGACUUUAGCCCAACAAACACGAAUUUCACCCACCAAAUAGUAAUAUUAACACCAACAAUUGAUAUAAAACUAUCAUAAACAUGUUUGCUAACAUAUUCCUCAACAUGGAACAAUUUAACAUCAACUAAAACUAGUUUAAUUUCUCAAAUUUUAUGUUUUCAUAUAACAACUCAAUUUUUGAUAUCCUUCACGAAAAUCAACACUAUAAACACAAUUCUUGUCCAAAUUGCUUCGUUCAAAUUACGUUAUGUUCGUUUCUUAAUGAACUAGCAUAAUCAAGCCUCAAUUUACAGUUUAACAUACGAAUUGACCAUAAAAAUUAGUACUUACAUAAGUCAUAUGAGAAAAUAUUCAUAACAACAUACACUGUAAUUAUCUUUCCUACUUUUAACUGUAAUUAGCAUACAAAUUUCUUGUUUAAACAUAAACUCUAAUCAUCAUUAACACAGAUUAUCACCAUAAUCAGUUGUAUAACAACAUUUUGAAAGAAAUAGAAUUCACAGAACUUGAGAUUUUAUGCCGUAAAUUCAUAUAUAUAUAUAUAUAUAUAUAUGUGUGUGUGUGUGUGUGUGUGUGUGUGUGUAUAAUAUUGAGAUUAUGGAAAAUUACCUUCAAUUAGCAUGCACAACCUUGCUAAACACAGAAUUUGUUGUGAAAAUUCUUAAGACUCCUCUCCAAUUCCUCUGAAAACUCUCUUCUCUUCUCUCUUCUCAGUAGACUAAACUCUUAGUUAAGCGUAAACAAAUAAACUGAUAGGCUGGCUAUAAUACGUAUACUUCUUAUAAUAUCAGUUACAAAUAAAAUAUAACGUAUAUGUUAUAAAUUUAUUUUAUAUUUUAUUUUAUUAUUUUUUAUAAUAAAAUCCAAAAUUUAAAAAUUCAAAAGCCAUAAGGCUUUGUUUGGCAACACCUCUUUAAAAUUUAAAGGCUUAAUAUAUUUAAGCUUUGUUUGGAAAAACUAAAUUACACUCCUUUAAUUUAUUUUAAUAAAAAAUUUAGUUUAUCAUUCAUAAUCACAUAUUAUUUAUUUGGAUUUUCAUAUCCACAUUAAUCAAAUAAAUUAGUUACAAACUAUAUUUUAAUUAAAUAUACCAUUUAAACAAAUAACACAAAAUUAUAAUUUCAUUAUAAUUUUAUCUAAUAAUUUAACAUAUCAUUUUAAAUUAUUAAAUCAACACAACAAUAUAACAUCUCAUGUUAUAUUACAACUUUCUCCAUUAUAAAUCACAUAAAUUUAAAAUUUUAUUAAUUCAUAAAUAUUUAGUAACAAUAACCACAUCAAAUAAAAUAUUUAUUCAACAAUUUCAACAAUAAACACAUCAAAUAAAUAUUUACAUAAUCCAAUAAAUAUUUAAAAUUAUAAUUUAAAAUUUUGGAUUGUUACAAUCUCUAAAUGGACAGGUGUAUAAAAUCUACAACCUACCUACAGUUUAAUACCAUUGAGUUAGUAAUCUAUAAAUUAAAGUCUAGUAGAGAUAUUGAGUAUCUAAAUUGGGGCUGUUAGGCCAAGUUUGAAACUGUUCAUGCCUCGAAGGGGCUGUCUUGUCAAUGAUGAAAAACAACAAUAUUUAAAGCAUUAGUGGACCUAAAUGGAACUAUAAAAUAUUAUACGUUGUCCAUACAAGUUAUAAUUACACUCAAAGCACAAAAUGAGUUCGAACUCACCUUGAAUACCUAAAAUAUAUAAGUUCAUAUAUAUAUAUAUAUAAUGUAACGCCCCAAAAAUUUGGAUUUUCCAGAAUUUAAGUUUAAAGAAUUAGUUAUUAAUAAAAUGAAUUUUUAUUAAUAAUAAGGUGUUAUGUGUUUAUUAAUCGUUCUAGAACCUAGGAUGAUUAUAAGUCGAGAGGAUUCUGGCUACGAGCUAGACUAAGCGAUUAAGAAUUUUCAAGACGAAAAUGAAAAUUUUCCGGGAACAAAAAUAUUUCUGGGGAAAAAGACAAAAUACGCACUAUUCACCCGACGAAACCUAAGGGUUAGGGUUUGAAUAACCUAAGCCGUUCUGAGAGUUCAGUAUGUCGAAAUGACAUUCCGUCGAAAGAUUUGACGAUAAUAUAUCUUGAAAAGUUAAGUAAGUAGAUAAAAGUUUUUCUCGAAAAACGUGCAGAAAUCGGAUAAAAUAAAAAUGACGAAAAGUACUACUAUGUACUUUUCAUUCGUUUGGCUACGUUAGGGUAAAACAUGAAGGAAAACGCUCAACGCUAAAAAGUGUUUUUCAGUUUUUCGGAAAUCCGAAGAAUACGUAAAAGUUAAUCGGUAAAGGAAAGACGAAAUAUCCAAAAAUAUUUGGAUUCCGAGAAUCGCAGUUUUUAAAACUGUCGGACGAAACCUGAAAAACGGAACCACGAAACUUACAGGCUAAAUUUCGUGAAUAGUAAGGAGGUUAACUAAGGAGGUGGAUGUACUAGACUUAAGUUUUAAGUAAACUUAAGUGUUAAGCAAACUUAAAGGCUAAGUAGACUUAAGUGUUAAGUAAACUUAAGGAGUGAGUUAACUUAACACCUAAGUCAUGAAUAGUAAGGAGGUGUGAAUAGUAAGGAGGUUAGGGGGUGAAAUGACUAAAAUGCCCUUAGCCUUGAAAAUCUAUAAAUAGUAAGCUUAAUUCAUUUAUUUGGGAUAUUGAAAAAUCCUACAUCUUAGAGAGAGAGAGAGAGGAUUCGGAUGGAGAGAGAUGAGGAAGAGCAUGAGCAUGAUUGAUCGGAUCGAAAGUGUUCGUGAAAUAGAAAAGCUAGCAAAUCGCCGAUUUUGUCUAGCGGAAGAAAAAUAAAGAGGAAAGGUAUUAAAACCUAACUUCUAUGUUAGAUUUUCUUUAAGUUUAUAUGUUUAAAACAUAACUUAAUGAGAAUAAGAAGUAUAUGAUGUUAGGAAUGAUUUCAUAUGGUUGAAAUCAUAAGAAAAUGAAGAAAUAAGAAUUUAAAGUUUAGUAAAUAAAUUUCUUAAGGAAGUAUAAGAUUCGUAAUGAAUUAGAACGAUCCGAGUGGAUUAUAUAAAUAAGUAGGUGAAAUAAGUAAGGAAUAAUGUUUUAUAACAUCAAAUUCCAAUGAAAAGUGAAAUUGUAAUCCAAAAUAUCGAUUAAAAUGAAGAACGAAUGAAGAACACGAAGAACAUGCAAAGAACACGAAGAACGUUGUUGAUGGACAAAUUUAAAACCAUCAUAGGAUAAUUGUUGUUGAUGGACAAGUUUAAAACCAUCGCGUAUAAGUUAGAUGCUUGUUUCUUGGUUAGGAACGGUAGAAACGUUCAUGAAGAACGGAUUAAAACUUAGCUAUAACGAAGUUAUGGCGAAAAUUUCGUAAAAGACAAACGAAAAUUAGAAAUUUAGUAAAUGAACCCGAACGUGUAUGGUUUCAUAAGAAUGUAAGAAAAUGUUGAAAACAUGAGUCGUGGACUCAAGAACGAUAGAAUUCCGAGUUCGGAUGACCGGAUUACGGACGAACAAACAAAGAGCAUUAAAAACGUAAAUGAACGAAGGCUGAAGAUCAAGCAAAUCGAAUAGCACGUUAACGGAUUCAGAAUGAUGUUCUAUCCGAGGGGGAUUGAAGUACGUAAGAUAAAGAAGAGAAUGGCUUUGGAAUGACCUCAUUCCGAGUUAUAACGAAUAAAUUAUGGAAGCGGGAAGAAAGCGUCUCAAAUUGGAUGAACGAACGUGAGGGGUUGCUAGGGUUGCGAUUCCUUAGACGUUGAGCGACGAGGGUAAUGAAUAACAUUUCGAUGUUAUGUCAUGAUAGUGAGAGAUAAGUUUGAAGCGUUUAGACGCUGUGUACGCAACGCUGUUGUGGUAAACGAGUGAUCUUAGCAUACAGCGAAAUGUAUGGCUUCGACAUUAAAGAAGAAUAACGAAUGGUAUUAAGAAAGCCGUAAUGAACGGUAAUAAGAUUAAUGGAAGCCGAAUGUGAGUCGGAUAAGAACGUUAGAAUAAAAUGUAUGCGUUGAACACUUUAACCGACGUGAAGGUUGAGGGUACGCAAAUAUUAAACGGAUAGAACCUACACCCCGUGUAUGGUUUGACCGUAAGAUAAUGACGAUCAAUGUUUAAACCGUGAACGGUAAAGAAGUUGAAUUAAAGAUAAUAACGUUUAACGUAACGAAGCCGAGUUAAGGAUUAAAGGGAAUGAUCGUUUUGAGUAUACAAAAGACUAUAUGACUUAGACGAUAAAGAGUGAAUACUGAGGCGUGGAAUUUAGUUGCCAGGAAGCCAUAAAGAAUGAGAAAUUAACUUAACGAAGAUUAUAGUUUAAUAGUUCGGAUAAGUCAAGAUAAGUAAGUUGUAGUACAAUCGUAACCUUUGAUGGUUGACAUAUGGGAGCUGGGCUAAACAAUUCCUUCAGAGAGCGAAGGUAUAUACAAAACUGGCAACCGAUCUAACUCACUGUUAUGGGCAGUGUAGACGAGACGGGAACUUGUUUGUUGGUUGUUUGUGGGAAACCACUCAGAGUACCAUAUGGACUACUAGCAGAGAAGCGAUGUGUGCUAAGUCUUAGAGAAGUAAUAAGAAGAAGAUAAGAUGUAAAACAUCAAAGAUGAUGAACGUAUAAGUAAGACAUCUCCGUAUGUCAUGAAGCCGUAGAACGGUAGUGAAAGUGGUCGCGUAAACUUAGGUUGCAAGAACGCGAACCCUAAGAAGUAAAGUUAAGUAAACUAAUGCAUAAGUCAAAGAUGUAUGACUAAUUAGUGUAUGUGUUGUUUUUUUUAUGUGCUACAUAGGAACUAGAAUGAGCAGUUCAGCGUAAGCUGUAGCUGUGCGUAAGGCAAGUUUCCUAACUUCAUUCAUACUUCAAAUGAAUGCUAGUUUCUUAAACUUCUCAGAUGUUGAACUUGAGAAGUUCCGUUUAUGUGCUAAUGUGUGAUAUUUGUACAAGGUGGUAGAACGUAUGAGGCCUUGUGCCACAAUGUGAACACUUCGAUGUUUUUAUGAGAUGAAUUGUUCUGUGAUUAACUGUUCAAUAAGAGAAUGCUCUGUUCAUACGUUAUUGUUAAGUUUGUGCUAAUGAUUCUAGCCAGACAGAAUGUGUAUGAAAAAGUUAGAAGAAUGAAAGUAUUUUAAAUUAAAGUGAAUAUUGUUUUAAAAUGAUAGGAAUCGAUAUUAUUCCUAUUAUUCAAGCUGCUUCAUAACCUUUGUUCGGUUAUUGAUGUCUUAAAAGAAUGUUUGAAUUCUUGAAGAUGUUUGUUCAACUGUAAUGACUUGUUGGGCAAUUGAAUGCUCACACUUGCUUUUAAAUGAAAAACAUUUUUCAGCGAACGAUGUUAGAAGAACUUAAGGGUCUUGUAAAGAUCAAAAUGACGGUAUCCAGAUGAGGUGCUAUUCAGGAUGUGAAUAAGCGAGAAGAUUAAGUGAAGAUUUAUAAUAUAGGAAGAUGAAAUUGAACUAUAGACUAGUUUAAGGAACUGUUAUGUAUCCUUGGUGGCGGAUAAAAGUCACUCUUGUAAGAUGAAAUGAAUAAUGUAUUUAUCAUUAUUUGAAAUGAAAAAGGUUAUAAGGUUUCCAGAACCUGGGAUUUGAGAGUAUAUGUUGUUAUAUUUAGCUAUAUAAUGAUGUAUGUUUGGAAGAAGAUGGGAUCGUGAUGUACGGAAUCCGGGUGUGAAGAUAGACCGGAUUUCGGGGCGUCACAUAUAAGCAUGUAGUAUACAUUAAAAGUGAUCAGUUUGGUAGCAUGAUAAUAAGAGCAAUGCUUUGCAGUCUGAGGCAAUGAUUGAGGUAAAGAAGAUUGUGGGCAAAUCGAAUGGGAGUGGGUUUUUGUUAUUAUGAGGUAAAGAAAAAAAAAAGAAGUUCAAUAGAAUUUAAUUUGAAAAGUUAUGAGGGAACUCAUAAUUUUUAUAACUUCACUACUAGAAUAAAAGUUGAGGACCCAUAUGCUAAUUGAUUCAUUGUUUCAUUUUGUGCUAACACCACAGUUAGUAUUGAUGGUAUUGAAUUUGACAAGUGUGAUGUAAUAGGCCAGAGCUUCAUGUUUCAUCAAAUUGGAAGAAUUUCAUAAUGGUGUAUAUAUAUUUAAUAUAUAUAUAUGAAGUGAGAAUGCGAAUUAUUCGUAAGAUAAAAUGUGAAGCUAAGUUACUAAUAAAGUAAAGGAUUCACGUACGAGGCGAUAACCUGGUUUAACUUAUGAGCUAUUGAGAAAGCAUAAAAAUUACAAAAGUUAAAGAAAUGUUAUAGUAAUGCCAUGUUUAUGAAAUAAAAAUUAUUCGUAAACCAUAUGGUCUUAAGUCUACAAAAAAAAGAUAAGAAAUAUCCGUUAAAAGGAUUGUAAAUGGUUUAUAACUCGAAACGUAGAGUAUUUAUAUACUAGAGCCAUGAGAGAACCUUUUUGGGCAAAAAAAAAGUUAUAAUGAACAAAAGUUUUUAAAGAAAUGUGAAAUAGUUUUAAGACAAGAACAAAGGAUUAUAGUUAAUGUAAAUAAAAUUAAGUUUACAUUAAGUAUGUGAAUUUAGUAUAUGAAACUAAUGUGUGUAUGAAUAUAUAUACUCAAUUUGUGUAGGAUCAUCACCGAACAGAUGAGUUAUAACAUUAAACAGCACUCAAGGCAAGUUUCUCAGUUUAUUUAUGUGGACGUAUAAUUGCUAUAGAUAACUGUUACCAUAAUUUAUGGUUAAAAGUAUGUAAUACCUAUGAACUGCAUUAUUUGCUUUGUGAAUGAUGAAUGUCAAAUUAUGACUAAUUAUUGAAUUGAGUUGGGGAACUCAAUAAAUAUGUGCAAUGAAUGACAUGUAUAGGACAUGUGUAGUAUGCUAUGGUAUGUAUGUUGCUACCAGCAGGACAUAAAUGUGAUAAUGCAUUUGUAAUAUGCUUGAACACCAAGAAUAUAAAUGCAUGAACUGAAUGUGAAACCUAUGUGCUAAGUGAUGCAUGAUAGACUGUUAGACUUGCUGGGUCGUCGUGCUCAAUCUUGCUUAAUUUGCAGGUUAAAGCUAUGAUGCGAUUUAUCGUGAUUAGGAGCGCAUGAAAAGAAGACUAGUGAUUUAAUUGAGAUUGUGUUGAAUCAUUUGAUGGUAUUUUCAUGUGUAAAUCACAGAUGUGUAAAUUUUUGAAUUAUUCGAUAGAUGAAGAUUAUUUGUUCUAAAGAGGGGAUAUGCUUGAAAGAAUGAAUUAUAUAUAUAUAUAUUCAUAUCUACUCAGGCUAAAUAAGUCAUAUAAUAAAUAUGAUUUUAGUAUAAAGAAGAAUUGUAAAGGUUGCGAUUCAGGGAAUGAAUGAAUGGA
rnacentral:lncRNA from 1 species